AUUGAACGCUGGCGGCAUGCCUUACACAUGCAAGUCGAACGGCAGCACGGGGCAACCUGGUGGCGAGUGGCGAACGGGUGAGUAAUGCAUCGGAACGUACCUUUCAGUGGGGGAUAACGUAGCGAAAGUUACGCUAAUACCGCAUAUUCUGUGAGCAGGAAAGCAGGGGAUCGCAAGACCUUGCGCUGAUUGAGCGGCCGAUGUCAGAUUAGCUAGUUGGUGAGGUAAGGGCUCACCAAGGCGACGAGCUGUAGCGGGUCUGAGAGGAUGAUCCGCCACACUGGAACUGAGACACGGUCCAGACUCCUACGGGAGGCAGCAGUGGGGAAUUUUGGACAAUGGGGGCAACCCUGAUCCAGCCAUGCCGCGUGAGUGAAGAAGGCCUUCGGGUUGUAAAGCCCUUUCGGCCGGGAAGAAAUCGCACGGGCUAAUACCCUGUGUGGAUGACGGUACCGGAAUAAGAAGCACCGGCUAACUCCGUGCCAGCCGCCGCAGUAAGAC
rnacentral:rRNA from 1 species